rnacentral:rRNA from 1 species
CUACGAAGGGUGCGAGCGUUAAUCGGAAUUACUGGGCGUAAAGCGCGCGUAGGCGGUUGGAUAAGUCGGAUGUGAAAGCCCCGGGCUCAACCUGGGAAUUGCAUUCGAAACUGUCCGGCUAGAGUAUGGUAGAGGGAAGCGGAAUUCCACAUGUAGCGGUGAAAUGCGUAGAUAUGUGGAGGAACACCAGUGGCGAAGGCGGCUUCCUGGACCAAUACUGACGCUGAGGUGCGAAAGCGUGGGGAGCAAACAGGAUUAGAAACCCCAGUAGUCC